rnacentral:rRNA from 1 species
GACGAACGCUGGCGGCGUGCUUAACACAUGCAAGUCGAACGGAAAGGCCCUGCUUUUGUGGGGUGCUCGAGUGGCGAACGGGUGAGUAACACGUGAGUAACCUGCCCUUGACUUUGGGAUAACUUCAGGAAACUGGGGCUAAUACCGGAUAGGAGCUCCUGCUGCAUGGUGGGGGUUGGAAAGUUUCGGCGGUUGGGGAUGGACUCGCGGCUUAUCAGCUUGUUGGUGGGGUAGUGGCUUACCAAGGCUUUGGCGGGUAGCCGGCCUGAGAGGGUGACCGGCCAAAUUGGGACUGAGAUACGGCCCAGACUCCUACGGGAGGCAGCAGUGGGGAAUAUUGCACAAUGGGCGGAAGCCUGAUGCAGCAACGCCGCGUGCGGGAUGACGGCCUUCGGGUUGUAAACCGCUUUCGCCUGUGACGAAGCGUGAGUGACGGUAAUGGGUAAAGAAGCACCGGCUAACUACGUG